CAGAAUUAAACAACAGUCUGUGCAGGAUUGUGUAGGAGGUGGUGACUGUUUUCCUCUGCACCUGAAUCUUUGGGUGUUUAUUAAGUACUGCCUGAACUGUCAUCUUAGGGCAGGUUUUGUACCCCUGUUCACUAGCAGUAGUGUCUGUGUUGCAGAGAGCUGCAUCUAUUGGGAUGUCUACUUGAAUGAGAUUGUAUGCUUCAUAAAAUAAUCUUCACACUAAGAGAAGAUACUGUGGGCUAGACUUUUUGCAUGUUUAAUAUGGACAUUUUUGUGUGACUUUUUUUUAAUAUCUUUGGAAAACAGCAAUGCUAUUUUCCUGGAUGUGCUCCUGUUGCUUUCCUUUGCUGAUUGCUAACAUGCUAGGAGGAGAUCAGGCAUAUUUUUAUCUUAUUGUAACAAAAUGAGUUCCAUGGAAACGGCAGCAGGGGAAGCCUGCUGAGCAGCUGGAGGUCAGAAAUCAGCCCAUGUUUAGAAAUGAAGAAAGGCAGCAUGGUGGGGCAUGGCUGCCUGCAUUCACUGCUCUGGGUCUGGUCACUUAAGCAGCAGGCUGGCUUAAGGCAAACUUUCUGCAAAUUAUGACAUUCAGUUAUGGCAGCUGUAGACUGUCACACAUAGGUUGGAUGUGUGGCUAUGGUAAAAGAGCUGGAGUUGUCACCACAGGGUGACCACAAGCCUGUCACCCAGUGGAAAUCCUGUUUUUUCACAUCAAUGUAUCACAUUUGUAGCCAAAACCAACUCAUGGCACCUAGCAGGGCUGAUCUGGAGUCCUAGAGAAAUUUGUUAAAAAAGGAGUGUGAAAUAGGAAGGUAUGGGUUGGCUUCCCCUCACCCUACAGAGCACUGGGGUGCCUGUGGGGCAGCGGGUGCGUCCCCAGCUGCAGGCCGCACUCAUUGUUUCCAUGGCAACGCAAGAUGGCAGGUCUGCCCUGCUCCUCACAGUGCAAAAUGCCAGGUUUUGUCCAUCAGCUGAAGGCAGCAAUCAUGCCCUACUGACAAAAGUGAACAAAUUAUUUAGAAGGACACUCAGGCGAAAAAGCCACUUGAUAGUGUUUUAUCUGCCACCAACUGGGGCGAUCCCUUUACCACGUGGCAAAUCUGAUAAAGGUGACACAAACUGCCAGGAGAAUUGGUGGCAUCGAGGGAGGCCUGAUGCUACUCAUCCGACUGGAGUGGAAGAGUUUGCAGGCUCUCUGUUGUGAGGAAAUCCCUGCGGCUGUGGUUCAGCAUCUGUAGUGAAACAAAACAGAAGAUCACUAUGGUAUCAAUAAAACAUGCUGUCAGCAAGAUGUGUAAGCUACCUGCAAGCUCAAUUCCACUUACAGGUGCCAAGUUCUGUUCUCCACUGCAACAUUAACAAUAGCGUUAGUAUGGCUGUGAACUGUUGCCUCAUUCCCUGGUCUGAGUGAGAAGCUAAAGACAAGGCAGGGAGUUUUAACUGGAUGUGUUAGUGCUGGGGCCAUCAAAGCUAAAACCUUCUGUGGAAAUGUGCAUUUAAAAAAAGAACUUUUGCUGCAUGUCCCUCCAGGACUAGAUGGACAAACUUCUCCGUCAGAAGAACCCAUGCUUUUGCUUAUCACUGGCAGGGUGGAAAGCCUGAGCCUGUCUUACUGUUCUUCCUUGUUUGGUAUCGUGCAUUUCUGCAAGGAAUAGCAACUACAGAGGGCAGUUGUUGAGGAAGAUGCUGCCUUACCUCACACUGAGGGAUGAAAAGAAAUACCUGACAUCUUGACAUUUUUCGCUAUCUGAAAUUCUUUUUUCUCACAGCAAGUCCUUUUUAAAGUGAUGAAGGGAAAUGUUCUCAGCAUGACUAUUCCUUGCUUAUGAUCUCUGAUUCUGUAGAUUUGCAUGCUUGCCUUCUCAAAAAACCUUGCAGUAACUACAUACUCAUGCACUAUUAUGAUAAUUAAACUCAGGGCAAAAGAUUAAAAACCCUGUAAUUCUGCAGUCCCCCAUAACACAUGAAGCUCCUCCUACUAGGUAAUGAAACCAUUAUUCGCUAAGAAGUUAAACAUGCAAGAGUGUGAAGGUCUUUUAUAAACAGUGCUGUCUGCUAGGAAAGAGAGCCUUCAGGCUAUUGCAGAAGACUAUCAUUUACAUGAAGUGAAGGAUUAUCCUGGGAAGGCACAGUAAUACAGAUACCACAGUCUUUCAUUACAAUGAUGGGAAGAGUGGUUUCUCAGACCCAUCUUCUUGGAGGGGUUCCAUAGAAUAGUUCUGGAAUAGGUUAGGGGGGUAUCUGUCACCAGCAAUGUAGCUGAAUUGCAUGGACUUCCAUGGGGCAAUGUUCUCCUGAGGUCUGCCCCAGACCUUGCUUCUAUAAUUCUUUGUUAUGCUCCUGUUCUUCACACUACGUGUGACUGUGACCCCGCCUGCUGUGCAUCUGAAUCUUUUAUCCCUUAUGAAGCCUUGUUGCCAGGGACCCAAAAAGCAAGGUAUCUAGGAGAUGUAGUAGUUGAGAGAUGGCUAUAGUGUUGAUUUGGACUUCAGAAUGUCUAAUUUAUGAGUGGAAUGCGUGCAGAGUUCAUGAAGGGGGAGUGGUAGUCAUUUAGCAACCAGGACUGGAAAAAGUGUAUUGUGUAGAGGAAAACGUAGUGACAAGAAUAGGAAGAAGAAACCAGGGGAUGUACAGAAACAGUGUCUCAGUAGGGUGGUGGCCUUGUUCAUUACUGCAUCAUGAAAGAAGCAGUCUGUCCUACUCCAGAUGUGUUUUAUACCUUCACCAGACUUCUUUCUGUGUGAAAAGCAAUUCCCUUACAAAUGGCCUUUCAUCAACCAUGGGGUCACAGCAGAAACAAUCAUCAAUGUAUUGCUGAUGUGGCCAACAUAUCUUGUGAACUCUUUGACCCUAGCAAUCAGCAGGAUUUCUUCAUGUGAAGCUCUAAUACAAAAAGUAUUAGUAUUAAUGAAAGAGCUCUUGGCCUGUUUGGUGUUCAGGGUCAGUAGAAGUUUACGGACGCCUUUGCCUAACAUUCCUAUUGUGUCUGGCAGCUUGAAUCUCAUCUUGAUUUUUCACAGGCACUGAUUUAAUAAUAUAAUUCUCAAGUUCUGCUCCAGCCUUUCAGUAUAGCAGGAAUCUAGGAAAGCUGGAAGCCACUCUAGCAGGAAACCAUCACCCAUUGGGUGUUGCUCACUUUGCUCACAUUCACUGAUUUACAAUAUUAUUUUCUCAUUGCUCUGCUGGGAGACAAGAACAAGUUUACUGCAGUUGACUUUGAAGGAAUUUUUUUGAUGCCUCACCCUCAUGCUUCUAUUGACUGGGUUAGGAAUCUCUUAAUUAAAUGGGAAUAGUUUCCCAACUUCUCUUUAUCCAAUACACUCUUCCUAGAGAACGUAAU